rnacentral:rRNA from 1 species
UACGGAGGGGGCUAGCGUUGUUCGGAAUUACUGGGCGUAAAGCGCACGUAGGCGGAUCAGCCAGUCAGGGGUGAAAUCCCGGGGCUCAACCCCGGAACUGCCCUUGAUACUGCUGGUCUGGAGUUCGAGAGAGGCGAGUGGAAUUCCGAGUGUAGAGGUGAAAUUCGUAGAUAUCGGGAGGAACACCGGUGGCGAAGGCGGCUUUCUGGCCAGUUACUGACGCUCAUGCGCGAAAGCUGGGGUAGCGAACCCGGAUUAGAUACCCGCGUAGUCCCUGAG